GCCAACGUGGCAUAGUGGUUUGAGUGUAAGACUAUGAUGCUGGAGACCAGGGUUCAAUUCCCAGCUUGACC